CGGCGCUGGAGGAGGCCACCGACGUACGACGCCAUGGGGAAGCGAGAGAGAAGCCGAGGCGAGCGCGCCAUGACGGGCGACGCCAGCGAGGCGAGGCGAGGCGAGGUGCGGCGAGAAAGAAAAUUAUCACCGUCGGCGCUGUCAUCAAUAUGGAGGACACCGUGCGACGAUGCCGCCGUGUCGUUGUGCCGCGUGUCGUCGGGAACCGGAGGCUCGCCCGGGCACGUCCCGGAGCUGUCCGCCCGCGCGAAUAUUGUGGAAACUUACCGUACGUCGACGUAGAAUAGGACUGUGGAUGCUGAGCGACCCGAUGAGUCGAUACUAAGCCACCAAAUACAACACGUAAACCUACGAUCGUCGCGUGAGGGCGUUGUAUAAGAGGAAAUAUGGCCGAUCGAACUGCGAAGGUUCAAAUGCUGCGCUGUUCUGCGCGUUGGCAGCUGCGCACUGACACGUCACGCGUUACGCUCCCGUGUUUAUACGCCGCCCGCUCGAUCGUCGUUUCUGGACAUCCGUGGGCAUCUUCCGGAAGACGUAGAAACAACCUUUCGCGAACGUCCCGGACGUUCCGAACUCUCUGGUCACAAAUUAUUUCGAUUCCAUUCGAUCAGAUUCGCGUAAAUGCACGAUGCGUACGCGAGAAAGUUGAUUCAUCGCAUGUCUAACGCGAGAGAAACGGCAAUGGCGUUGACUUUUUUUUUAUCGGAUACGCCAUCGUUUAAUUUUUGUAUACAAUUGAUUCAAUUUUUUAGAAUAUUUUUUUGUAUAAAAGAUCAACUAAAUAAGACUUUAUUUCAUCCUGUUUGAAUCGCAUCCGGUUUUUACAUGCGGAACUCUACGCAGACGAUCUGGCGGCCAAUCAACUUUCCGCUUUUUCCGGAAUGACAGAUAUGUAGUAAAAGGCGAUUGGCCAUUGCGUCCGCUUCUUAUUGUAUAGAAUUGAUUGGUUAAAUUUUCUACGCAUUCGCAUUGUGCGAGUUUAUCUGGACGAGUUUUAAAGGCCAUUUGACAAACAAAAUUCGCGCGUAACUUGGACUACCAUUAACUCGCGUAUUUAGUUGCAAAAUAGAUCCUUUGCUUUUUACUACUCUUAAUUCAUCAUUGUAUCGGCAAAUUAUACCGCCAACCUUCAUACAAACACUAUUAAUGCCAAUUUGUUGCAAUACGUUUUAAAUAUAAAAUAUAAAGGAACAAAAAUAAAAC